AUACGAGGGUGGCAAGCGUUAUCCGGAAUUAUUGGGCGUAAAGCGUCUGUAGGCGAUCUGACAAGUUUUCUGUGAAAUUCCAAUGCUCAACAUUGGAGCUGCAGAAAAUACUGUCAGAAUUGAGGAAGAUAGAGGUAAGUGGAAUUCCCGGUGUAGUAGUGAAAUGCGUUAAUAUCGGGAGGAACACCUAUAGCGAAGGCAGCUUACUGGAUCUUUCCUGACGCUCAGAGACGAAAGCGUGGGUAGCGAAUGGGAUUAGAUACCCCAGUAGUCCACGCCGUAAACGAUGGAUAUUAGGCAUAGGGAGAGUCGACCCUUUCUGUGCCGAAGCUAACGCGAUAAAUAUCCCGCCUGGGAAGUACGGCCGCAAGGCUAAA
rnacentral:rRNA from 1 species